rnacentral:rRNA from 1 species
AGUCGAGCGAAGUCUUCGGACUUAGCGGCGGACGGGUGAGUAACGCGUGGGAACAUACCCUUUGGUACGGAAUAGCCUCGGGAAACUGGGAGUAAUACCGUAUGUGCCCUUCGGGGGAAAGAUUUAUCGCUAAAGGAUCGGCCCGCGCCUGAUUAGGUAGUUGGUGGGGUAAAAGCCUACCAAGCCGACGAUCAGUAGCUGGUCUGAGAGGAUGAUCAGCCACACUGGGACUGAGACACGGCCCAGACUCC